rnacentral:rRNA from 1 species
GAGUUUGAUCCUGGCUCAGAACGAACGCUGGCGGCGUGCUUAACACAUGCAAGUCGAACGUGAUCCAGAGCUUGCUCUGGUGAAAGUGGCGCACGGGUGAGUAACGCGUGGAUAACCUGCCCUGGUAUCUGGGAUAACAUCUCGAAAGGGGUGCUAAUACCGGAUAAGCCUACGGGAUCUUCGGAUUCUGCAGGAAAAGGAGGCCUCUAUUUAUAAGCUUCCGUAUCAUGAUGGGUCCGCGUACCAUUAGCUAGUUGGUGGGGUAAUGGCCUACCAAGGCGACGAUGGUUAGCUGGUCUGAGAGGAUGAUCAGCCACACUGGAACUGAGACACGGUCCAGACUCCUACGGGAGGCAGCAGUGGGGAAUUUUGCGCAAUGGGGGAAACCCUGACGCAGCAACGCCGCGUGAGUGAUGAAGGCUUUCGGGUCGUAAAGCUCUGUCAGAGGGGAAGAAAUGGGUCGUGCUAAUAUCGCGACUUCUUGACGGUACCCUCAAAGGAAGCACCGGCUAACUCCGUGCCAGCAGCCGCGGUAAUACAAGGGCGCCCUCWRCAR